CCUCAUUUAAGGGCUGACUGCCACUGAGGAAGCAUCUCUUUCUGGAGAUCCCUCCUUGGGGGAGCUUUCCUUGCAAAUCCUGAAUCUUCUGAUACAGCCAUCAUCCUCCAUACCAAAGAGGUUUUAUCCACUUGGCUUGCUGGCCAUCACAAAGGCUGGAAGAGGAGGAAGAGGCAGAAACUGUCUGACUCUUAGUGUUGACUGAGCUGCCACCUGGAUGCUCCAGUGCUGAGAUGGUGUGACCAGCAGCCUGGACUUAGUGGGCAAUGAAGCCAAGCAGCUGAGAUCCCUUUCUAUGGAGAGGGACACAGCCUUUCACCCAAUGGUGUUGGCUCUUGAAAGCCAUGAGGGAAAGAUAUCCCUACAAGGAAGACUUGAUGUUUAACUCAGGUAAAUGGACCACCAUGGAGAAAGGUAUCUUGAGGGUACUGGCUGUGGUAGAGGUGAUGUAUGGAAUUAACUUGAAUGAUAACACCAAACUCAAAGACUCAGAUGAUGUGGUGUGUAUACAACCGAUGUGGCAGAGAGUUGUACAAAAUGGACCACCACCGUAUGCCAGCACCCUGACAGGGAUGAACUGGAAAGAUAAUAAAAGACCAAGGCUGAGUGAAGUGGCCAGCCUACUUUGACAAUAAGAAAAUAGUCUCUCUUCUUCCCUAUGGACCUGUGUCUUUGCUGUGGAGAAGCUGUCCCAGGAGGCCCAGUGAUUCAAAGAUAAUAUGUCCUGCUCCUCACCUGUGCAAAAUGGUAUCUGAGCUAUUAGAAGUAAGUGUUCCUCUGCUCAAGAGAGAGGAUGUAGUGGAUACACACCAUGAACCUCCUGUGGUUUUUACCUGCGUGAUGUCCUUUGCUCCUCACAGUGACUCUGGCUGCAGUUCUGACAACAGGAGGAAGCAAUGGAGGUGGGAUGGGUGCACCCUUGGUGGUAAUUUGGAGCUAACUGGCCAAAGCUAGCCACAACUAAGCACAAAGGAAAAUAACAGAAGCCAAGUCCUUUGCAGCAGUUGCAUGCUUUCACCCUGAUGGGGCCCUGUCCUGGUGGGGUCCAUGCAGGGGCUUCUCCCACUUUGGUACCACCAGGCCCAGUGCAACACCCCAUGAUCCAGCCUGGCUCAGUGGGGCUGUAUGCAUUGCCCACCAGCAACCCCCAAUCUUCAUCCACUCCGGGCUCCUCUGCGGCCCCUUGGUGGCCCUGGCUGACUCCUCUUGUCCCCAGCUGACGGAGAGGCCAGGCACAGGGGGAGGCAGGGGGACUAAUUAGCGCUGCCUGCCUUUGAUUGACUCACUGGCGUGCAAGGCUCAGUGCGAGCUCCUUGGCCUCUCUCCCUGCUUUUAUUUUUUUCGUGCGUGUUCAGUGGGGAAGGAAUGGUGGCUGCAAGCCAGCAGUGUGGAGCUGGGCCAGAGCUUCAAAGCAAGAUCAUCGCAGAGCAGCUUAGAUGGUAGGAAUGAAAUAAGGUCCUCCCUCAGGUCUCCAUCACGGCAGGUGCCUUUGGGGUGCUGCCAAGUGCCCAUUUCUUGGGGGGUGAGUGGUGGCAUCACCACUCUGCCCACCCCACUCAAUGGUUUUGGGCAGUGGUGAUGCUGCAGAGGGGUGCAUCCCCGUGGCACAAUGCUAAGGAAGAUCUCUCUUUGUUUUCUUUUAUUAUUAUAAACAGGGCCAUGGGAGCAUUUUGGGGCUGCAGGUAUGUCUCAAAGCUUAUCUACCAAGGGAGAGAGGCCACAUUAACAACAGGUUUGUGGGUGAAUCUGGGGCCUGCCCAGUGUGAGUUAAAGUUCAAAUUCAAGUUGGGUGAGCACCAAGCACUUCAGCUUUGGGGAUCUGUGAGAUGAUCAAUCUGCUGCUGCUUACAUGUGUGGGGCUCAAUAAAAGGAAACAAUCUAAAACUGAGAAAAACAUAGGAGCGCUGCUUCCAGCAGCAGCAAAGCGCUCUACCUCCCAGAUGUCCUCCCCUCACCAAGGAUUUGUGUCCUGGGGGCCUACAGUUGAGGAAGUGAAAAGCCCUGAUACAUUGUGCAGUGCAUCCACCUGAAUUAUAGAUUUUUGUGGCCCUGAGCACCAUCUGCAGCCCUUAGUUUAUUGCCUGUAAACCUGGCCUUGACAAGCCCAAACCAUGAUGCGCAAUGGAUGUGGGUAUGGCACAGCUGCAAAAACCACUUGGUUUUUGGGGAGCAUCUUGCUGGAGGUGAU